rnacentral:misc_RNA from 1 species
GAUGAAGAACGCAGCGAAAUGCGAUAAGUAAUGUGAAUUGCAGAAUUCAGUGAAUCAUCGAAUCUUUGAACGCACAUUGCGCCCGCCAGUAUUCUGGCGGGCAUGCCUGUUCGAGCGUCAUUUCAACCAUCAAGCCCCCGGCUUGUGUUGGGGACCUGCGGCUGCCGCAGGCCCUGAAAAGCAGUGGCGGGCUCGCUGUCACACCGAGCGUAGUAGCAUACAUCUCGCUCUGGGCGUGCUGCGGGUUCCGGCCGUUAAACCACCUUCAUAACCCAAGGUUGACCUCGGAUCAGGUAGGAAGACCCGCUGAACUUAAGCACAUCAAUAAGCGGAGGA